rnacentral:rRNA from 1 species
ACGUUAGCGGCGGACGGGUGAGUAACACGUGGGUAACCUACCUAUAAGACUGGGAUAACUUCGGGAAACCGGAGCUAAUACCGGAUAAUAUUUCGAACCGCAUGGUUCGAUAGUGAAAGGUGGUUUUGCUAUCACUUAUAGAUGGACCCGCGCCGUAUUAGCUAGUUGGUAAGGUAACGGCUUGCCAAGGCGACGAUACGUAGCCGACCUGAGAGGGUGAUCGGCCACACUGGAACUGAGACACGGUCCAGACUCCUACGGGAGGCAGCAGCU